GUCUGGCGGCGAGUGGCGAACGGGUGAGUAAUAUAUCGGAACGUGCCUAGUAGCGGGGGAUAACUACUCGAAAGAGUAGCUAGUACCGCAUACGCCCUACGGGGGAAAGGGGGGGAUCGCAAGACCUCUCACUAUUAGAGCGGCCGAUAUCGGAUUAGCUAGUUGGUGGGGUAAAGGCCCACCAAGGCGACGAUCCGUAGCUGGUUUGAGAGGACGACCAGCCACACUGGGACUGAGACACGGCCCAGACUCCUACGGGAGGCAGCAGUGGGGAAUUUUGGACAAUGGGGGAAACCCUGAUCCAGCCAUUCCGCGUGUGCGAUGAAGGCCUUCGGGUUGUAAAGCACUUUUGGCAGGAAAGAAAUCGCACAAAUUAAUACUUUGUGUGGAUGACGGUACCUGCAGAAUAAGCACCGGCUAACUACGUGCCAGCAGCCGCGGUAAUACGUAGGGUGCAAGCGUUAAUCGGAAUUACUGGGCGUAAAGCGUGCGCAGGCGGUUCGGAAAGAGAGGUGUGAAAUCCCAGGGCUUAACCUUGGAACUGCACUUUUAACUCCCGAGCUAGAGUAUGUCAGAGGGGGGUGGAAUUCCGCGUGUAGCAGUGAAAUGCGUAGAUAUGCGGAGGAACACCGAUGGCGAAGGCAGCCCCCUGGGAUAAUACUGACGCUCAUGCACGAAAGCGUGGGGAGCAAACAGGAUU
rnacentral:rRNA from 1 species